rnacentral:tRNA from 1 species
AGGGCUAUAGCUCAGUUGGUAGAGCAUCUCGUUUACACCGAGGCGGUCUACGGUUCGAGCCCGUAUAGCCCUA